AAUUUCCUACGGGGGGCAGCAGUGGGGAAUAUUGCACAAUGGGGGAAACCCUGAUGCAGCAACGCCGCGUGGGUGAAGGAGCGUUUCGGCGCGUAAAGCCCUGUCAGCGGGGAAGAAGAAAGACGGUACCCGACCAAGAAGCCCCGGCUAACUACGUGCCAGCAGCCGCGGUAAUACGUAGGGGGCGAGCGUUAUCCGGAAUUACUGGGUGUAAAGGGAGCGUAGACGGCGAGGUAAGCCUGAAGUGAAAUGCCGGGACUCAACCCCGGAACUGCUUU
rnacentral:rRNA from 1 species